UUGCCUCAAGUCAGGCCAGUGGCAGCGCUGUUUCAGUAGCAUUUUAUUUGGGAAGUGAAUAAACAUAUCCUGAUUUGAUUUGGAGGGACUCUAAUUCUAAUGUUAGUGUUGCCAAAAGACAAACUUGAUUACUGGUUUGACUGAAGUAACAAAAGGCAGCGUGCUCUAGCUCAAAGCGUCCCAACCCGGUCUGUUGGACACCUAUUCAGUUGGGAUGAGGUGGACGCCACGCUGGCAUCCUCUCCUGCUUGCUUCAUCUGAAAUUGUAAUUGGACAGUUUUGCGCAUGCUGUUGUAAAGGAAUUUAAAACAUGUCACGUCAUUUCCUUUUCUUUUAUUAAGGCCCCACCAACGUGUUCAUAAGUGGCUUAGAUGUGGAGUCACCGAUAGCCAACAGUCCCAAGGGGAACCAAGGCUCCAGUAUCAAACCCCCCCCCCACUCUACACCACAUCCAUCUCCAACAAAUCCAGUGGGGUGCAUUUGCUGCUGACCACCCACUCACACGCGUCCCUUUCUCGACACAGCACUAGAAGUUUGCUGUUAGAGGCACUUGGGGCCCCGGUCGCAUCUUCAGACGUCUUUUCCCUCGUUCUAAUCGAUGUGCUUGGUGAAACGGGAUCCUCACGCGGAUGCGAAAAUAAGACCCUGAAGAGAAACAAACCCCCCCCCCCCCCCUCCCCUCUUUUGGACGGCAAUUGUAUGUGGUCGUGUCUUCGUCUGGUUUACCUGUGGAUCUUUGAUCCUGACAGCAUGCGACGGUGUUUGAUUUUGCGGGGUACUUUGACAGUUUGCGGGCUGGCAA
rnacentral:lncRNA from 1 species